rnacentral:tRNA from 1 species
AGGGUAUAGCUCAAAUGGUAGAGCGCAUGCUUAACAUGCCUGAGGUUCUGGGUUCAAUACACAGUGCUCCUC